UGGUAGGUAGCAGUCUAAUGUGAGGACUGGUAGGUAGCAGUCUAAUGUGAGGACUGGUAGGUAGCUGUCUAAUGUGAGGACUGGACUGGUAGGUAGCUGUCUAAUGUGAGGACUGGACUGGUAGGUAGCUGUCUAAUGUGAGAACUGGACUGGUAGGUAGCUGUCUAAUGUGAGGACUGGUAGGUAGUUGUCUAAUGUGAGGACUGGACUGGUAAGUAGCUGUCUAAUGUGAGGACUGGUAGGUAGCUGUCUAAUGUGAGGACUGGUAGGUUGUUGUCUAAUGUGAGGACUGGUAGGUAGCAGUCUAAUGUGAGGACUGGUAGGUAGCAGUCUAAUGUGAGGACUGGUAGGUAGCUGUCUAAUGUGAGGACUGGUAGGUAGCUGUCUAAUGUGAGAACUGGACUGGUAGAUAGCCGUCUAAUGUGAGGACUGGACUGGUAGGUAGCUGUCUAAUGUGAGGACUGGACUGGUAGGUAGCUGUCUAAUGUGAGAACUGGACUGGUAGGUAGCCGUCUAAUGUGAGGACUGGACUGGUAGGUAGCUGUCUAAUGUGAGGACUGGACUGGUAGGUAGCUGUCUAAUGUGAGGACUGGACUGGUAGGUAGCUGUCUAAUGUGAGAACUGGACUGGUAGGUAGCUGUCUAAUGUGAGGACUGGUAGGUAGCUGUCUAAUGUGAGGACUGGACUGGUAGGUAGCCGUCUAAUGUGAGGACUGGACUGGUAGGUAGCUGUCUAAUGUGAGGACUGGACUGGUAGGUAGCUGUCUAAUGUGAGAACUGGACUGGUAGGUAGCUGUCUAAUGUGAGGACUGGUAGGUAGUUGUCUAAUGUGAGGACUGGACUGGUAAGUAGCUGUCUAAUGUGAGGACUGGUAGGUAGCUGUCUAAUGUGAGGACUGGUAGGUUGUUGUCUAAUGUGAGGACUGGUAG